rnacentral:rRNA from 1 species
AAGCGUCUGGAAGGGGGGGCGAUAGAGGGUGAGAGCGCAUGACACAAAAGCGCAUGGGCUGUGAGGUGGAGGGGUAGGGCGGGACACGUUGUAUCCUGUCUGAAUAAGGGGGGACCAUCCUCCAAGGCUAAAUACGCCUGACAGACCGAUAGUGAACCAGUACCGUGAGGGAAAGGCGAAAGGAACCCCGGCGAGGGGAGUGAAACAGACCGUGGUACCGUGUACGUACGAGCAGUGGGAGCACCCUUCGGGGUGUGACUGCGUACCUUUUGUAUAAUGGGUCAGCGACUUAUAUUCUGUAGCAAGGUUAACCGUAUAGGGGAGCCGGAGGGAAACCGAGUCUUAACCGGGCGUUAAGUUGCAGGGUAUAGACCCGAACCCCGGUGAUCUAGCCAUGGGCAGCUUGCAGGUUGGGUAACACUAACUGGAGGACCGAACCGCCUAAUGUUGAAAAAUUAGCGGAUGACCUGUGGCUGGGGGUGACAGGCCAAUCAAACCUGGAGCUAUCUGGUUC